rnacentral:rRNA from 1 species
AGUGAACGCUGGCGGUAGGCCUAACACAUGCAAGUCGAACGGCAGCACAGGAGAGCUUGCUCUCUGGGUGGCGAGUGGCGGACGGGUGAGGAAUACAUCGGAAUCUACUCUGUCGUGGGGGAUAACGUAGGGAAACUUACGCUAAUACCGCAUACGACCUACGGGUGAAAGAAGGGGACCUUCGGGCCUUGCGCGAUUGAAUGAGCCGAUGUCGGAUUAGCUAGUUGGCGGGGUAAAGGCCCACCAAGGCGACGAUCCGUAGCUGGUCUGAGAGGAUGAUCAGCCACACUGGAACUGAGACACGGUCCAGACUCCUACGGGAGGCAGCAGUGGGGAAUAUUGGACAAUGGGCGCAAGCCUGAUCCAGCCAUACCGCGUGGGUGAAGAAGGCCUUCGGGUUGUAAAGCCCUAUUGUUGGGAAAGAAAUCCAGCUGGCUAAUACCCGGUUGGGAUGACGGUACCCAAAGAAUAAGCACCGGCUAACUUCGUGCCAGCAGCCGCCGUAA